GAGAUACACCAAGCAUGCCAAGUGAGAAGACUGGUCUUUGACAGUUACCUACAUGUAAGGUGUCCAGAGUCUUUAAGUCCUUUACCAUAGUUAGACAUUCAAUAUUCAUACAUUAAGUUUGUUCAAAAUGAUCUACAUGUAUAGGAUGUCAGUGGUAACAAUUGUAGUCCAAAGCAUGAAUCUAAAAUGUAACAACCCCUGUGCAUUGAUUGAUCUAACCUUUGAUGCUCGUGAAACUGUUGUUGUAUCUCAAGUUCCUGUAGAGUUUGCUUCUCUUUGGAUAUUUGUCCUUAAAAGCUUUAAAUUUAUAAAUCCAUACUAAAUGUGAAAUGCACAUAUACUGUACAUGAAUGUCCCAAACAUAGACUGUUGACACGUCUAUCCAUAGACUGUCGACACGUCUAUCCAUAGACUGUUGACACGUCUAUCCAUAGACUGUUGGCACGUCUAUCCAUAGACUGUUGGCACGUCUAUCCAUAGACUGUUGGCACGUCUAUCCAUAGACUGUCGACACGUCUAUCCAUAGACUGUUGGCACGUCUAUCCAUAGACUGUUGACACGUCUAUCCAUAGACUGUUGACACGUCUAUCCAUAGACUGUUGACACGUCUGUCCAUAGACUGUUGACACGUCUGUCCAUAGACUGUUGGCACGUCUAUCCAUAGACUGUUGGCACGUCUAUCCAUAGACUGUUGGCACGUCUAUCCAUAGACUGUUGGCACGUCUAUCCAUAGACUGUCGACACGUCUAUCCAUAGACUGUCGACACGUCUAUCCAUAGACUGUCGGCACGUCUAUCCAUAGACUGUUGGCACGUCUAUCCAUAGACUGUUGACACGUCUAUCCAUAGACUGUUGGCACGUCUAUCCAUAGACUGUUGACACGUCUAUCCAUAGACUGUUGACACGUCUAUCCAUAGACUGUUGACACGUCUAUCCAUAGACUGUUGACACGUCUAUCCAUAGACUGUUGGCACGUCUAUCCAUUGACACGUCUAGCCAUAGGCUGUUGACACGUCUAUCCAUAGACUAUUGGCACGUCUAUCCAUAGGCUGUUGACACGUCUAUCCAUAGACUGUCGGCACGUCUAUCCAUAGACUGUCGACACGUCUAUCCAUAGACUGUCGACACAUCUAUCCAUAGACUGUUGACACGUCUAUCCAUUGACAGGUUUGCAUGCAACAGUUUGCAUCUCUCUGAUACAGUAUAGAAAUUAAUGCAAUGGAUACUUUGAAUGUCAUUAUUUAUAGUCUGUUAUUACUGUUGGUGUGGUGGGUUGGGGGUGUUGAGCACAGUAGAGAAGACAGCAACUAUGGUUGUUCAAUAUAGGCAAUUGCCAAUAGAGGGGGGCCCUGCAGUUUACCAGGAAAUGCUAGUUUUGUGACCAGCCUGCCACUUGAUGAUUUGGUUGUUAAUGUUUGUUCAGUUUUGUUUACGCUUGAUUGCUGAUAAUUUAGACUUAAGAUCACUAGGGGCCUUUGUUAAGUUAAAUUUAUUUUGAAGCUGAUACAAUUCAUAGUGAUGUGAAUAAUAUGCUCUGUCCAUUGCCCCUUCAAUGCGGCAAGCAAAAGCAGGAUAGUCAAGCUCAUUCCUGAAGAUGACCAGAGCAAAUGUGCCUCUGUUCUAAGGUUAUUUACUCAUUUCACAGUAAUCAUAACUCUCUCUUUACUAUGUGCGGAUGCAAACCUCAGUGACAAAAUCUUUGCAAUUUUGUAUGGUUUUAGGACAGAUGUAACUGAUAUGCCAAAUUCUACCCUUUUUUUUUUAAAGCACUCAAAGUUAUAUGUUUAACUUACGUUUCCCAGCAAGUACACUUAAUUUAUUGUUAAUCUAUUUCUUGUUAUAAAGUAUAUUCUCUAAGGUUGUGCACAACAUUGGUAAGAUAGGGAAUUUGAUUGUUCCCAGAUUUGUCCAGAUAAGAUGGACAUUGUGGAAAACUUGCUUGAAAUGCUGUAUUUUCUUUAGGGGAAAUAAUGAGUAAAAUUAUUAGUUUUGAUUGCUUGUGAACAAAACCUGUUUGAACAUUGAAAACAUAAAGUUUGGAUUUACAGACUCUGAAGAGCGUUUGAGUUUCAAAUUUCAGAGGUUUAUUAUUUAAUAUAUUAUAUUAUGGGUCACGUCAAGUGGAUACAUUUAAAUGUACAUUCAAAAAACCAUUCAGUCACCAUUGUGCCAUCUCUUAAACAUCUCAUUGAUGUGGUUUUCAGUCAUUGACAAUUGGAAGUUUAAUGUGUGUUCCUGUCUAUACCUCAGCAGUCAUGUUUGCAGUAAAUUGUUGGACUUCUAAAAUGUCCCUUAACUAGAUUAAAGCAAAUAAAGAAGUCACAUUUUUAGAGCAAUCUGCACAACAGUUUGUUGUACAUACAUGGAAAACUAAAUCAAAUUGGUACAUUGUAAAAGUAACUGUACAAAAAGUAUGCAUAUUAUUUUACAUAUUUGUGAGAGCUUUUGUAAUAUUUCAGCUAUAUAUGGUACCUACACACAUUUAGCAAGCAAAAGAAGCUCCUAAUGCAAAGGGAAACAUAUUGGUUGCAACAUUAAAGGCAGUGGACACUAUUGGUAAUUCC